AACCUUUUCAAAUCUGUCCAGUCCAGCUUAGUCAAGCCCUUUCGCAACCUUAUACUCCCUCUCUCUCCCUUUAAGGAAGGAGGGGGGGAUAAAAUCUACAAAGGAUAAUUUGUUCAUAAAACAAUGGUUGAAAUUAACAGUAUGGAAUGGCAGUUUGGUGGUCACAUUCUGGAUUAUGUUUUUGUAUUGAAUAUCGGUUUUAUGGCAUAUUAUGCAUUUUAAGCGAAAAAAACGUACAGUUACUAUUACAUCAGUAUGUGGGUCCGAUAUAAAUUGAUCUGAUGGGGCAUUGUAUUCAGAAAAUGAAUGCUAUACUUAUUGUUAUCAUCAUCAGUAAUGCAAAAACGUUACAACGUCACAAUUGUACAUUAUAUGUUAUAACACUUAAAAUAUGAUACACUAUAUGUUAUAACACUUAAAAUCAUCUAACGAAUGUAUUUGUUACACUAUAUGUUAUAACAAUUAAAAUCUAACGAAUGUAUAUGUGACACUAUCUGUUAUAACACUUACAAUCUAACGAAUGUAUAUGUGACACUAUCUGUUAUAACACUUACAAUCUAACGAAUGUAUAUGUUAACCUCCUGGUGUUAACAUCGUUUAUUUCAGAUGCCAGUUAGUUGGACAUGGGUAGAAGUAUAUACAAUGGCACGUCUGACGUGUGAAUUGACACGUGUCUCGACCUUUAGACAUGUAUCAAUCAGAUUCUGGGUGUUGGACCUUGCCAGGUGGUACUUCGUGGACCAUGAUGGAAUGACCUUCGAGUGUAUCAUAUGCGGGAGAAUGGAACCAUAUAGAGAAAGAAGAUUCUCUGAAGAGGAGUUGAAGUUGAUUCAUCAUACCGACUGCCGAGUACGAAAGAAUGGAGUCCGGGUACGCUACUGAUACCAAAGUAACCGAGAACACACGUGUUUAAUAUGAUCGACGGAAACCUUAUUUCAACACCAUUUUUCGAUCUAUUGAGGCAAAAUGCAAUUUAUCCGACAGAAAUAGAACUGCAAAAUACUUUUGAAACUUGCAAUGUCAACAUCUUGGUUUUGUGGCGAAGUUUGGCAACCCCCACUCAGGAUUGGGUUCAGCAAGUUUUACGUCAAAUAUACAUAAUGUCAUGCUGUAGUUGGCAAUGGUUCGUGAUUGUCAUUUUCAUGUAUUUUUUGUUUGGAAUAUCAAUUAAAUGUCACCAUAUACACGUAUAUGGUGACCAUAUUCAACCACA